GCGUCAAUGAUGGGAAUUGGUCUACCUAGCUGAUUUAGAAUCAGUUGUUUCUCGGUUCGAGUCCGAGUUGGCGCACCA
rnacentral:tRNA from 1 species